rnacentral:rRNA from 1 species
GUCCUUUAGAAAUUAGAAUUUAAGGUCUAACCUGCCCACUGAAAUUUUUAAAUGGCCGCAGUAAUUUGACUGUGCAAAGGUAGCAUAAUCAUUAGUUUUUUAAUUAAAAGCUUGUAUGAAUGGUUGGACGAAAUAAAAUCUGUCUCUAAAUAAUAAUUAGAAUUUAAUUUUUAAGUUAAAAAGCUUAAAUUUUUAUAAAAGACGAGAAGACCCUAUAGAUCUUUAUAAUAAACUUUUUAAUUUUAUUUAAGAUUAUUUAAUUAUUUAUAAAUUUUAUUAUUUUAUUGGGGUAAUAAAAAGAUUAAUAAAAUUCUUUUUAAAAUUAAACAAAAAUUAUUGAUUUUAUGAUCCAUUAUUAUUGAUUAUAAGAUUAAGUUACCUUAGGGAUAACAGCGUAAUUUUUUUAAAGAGUUCAUAUCGAUAAAAAAGUUUGCGACCUCGAUGUUGGAUUAAAAAUUAUUUCGGGUGUAGAAGUUCGAAAUUUUGGUCUGUUCGACCAUUAAAUUUUU